GCUGAAAACCUAGCCCUCUCACUAAACCUUAUAUCCCCUAAUACCUCUUCUCCUAAAUUAAAACAUUCACUGAAUCUAGUAAAGGCGAUUAAAAAACUGAUUAGAGCAAUAACCAAAGUACCGCAAGGAAACGCUGAAAUAAAAAUGAAAUAAAUUUCAAGCACAAAAAAGUAGAGAUUUAUACUUGUACCUUUCGCAUCAUGAUUUAACUAGUUUAAUCAAGCAAAAAGAACUAUAGUUUGACCCCCCGAAACUAGGCGAGCUACUUCGGGGCAGCUUUAUGAGCGAACCCGUCCCUGUUGCAAAAGUGUGGGAUGACCCCCAAGUAGCGGUGACAGACCUAACGAGCCUAGUGAUAGCUGGUUACUUAAGAAAAGAAUUUUAGUUCUGCCUAAACCAUUUAAAAUAUAAUAAAAUAAUUAUUUAUGUAUUAGAGUUAUUCAAACAAGGUACAGCCUGUUUGAAAUAGGAGACAACCUAAACUAAAGGGUAAUUUAUACAAAAAAGAAUAAGUUGGCCUAAAAGCAGCCACCUUCAAAAUAGCGUCAAAGCUUAAUCUUUUAUUAAACCAUAUUACACUAUUUAAUCAGAACCCUUCACCAAUAUUAAGUUAAUCUAUAAACUUAUAGACGCAAUUAUGUUAAAACUAGUAAUAAGAAGAUAGACCUUCUCUUAAAUGUACCUUUAAACCGGAAAGGACAAUCCACCGGUACUUAAACGCAAAUGAGUACAAAACAGUAACUACCACAGAAAACCCUGCUUAAUUUAACGUUAACCUAACACCAGUACAUUUCAAGAAAGAUUAAAAAGAAAAGAAGGAACUCGGCAAACACUAUCCCCGCCUGUUUACCAAAAACAUCGCCUCCUGUAACAUAUAAGAGGUCCAGCCUGCCCAGUGACUUAGUUCAACGGCCGCGGUAUCCUAACCGUGCGAAGGUAGCGUAAUCACUUGUUCUUUAAAUGAGGACUAGUAUGAAUGGCACCACGAGGGAUACACUGUCUCCUUUUUUAAAUCAAUGAAACUGAUCUCCCCGUGAAGAAGCGGGGAUAAAAAUAUAAGACGAGAAGACCCUAUGGAGCUUUAAACUACUUAGCACUGGCUUACGCACUCAAAUUUUUUCAGAAGCACAACACUUAUUUUAGCCUUACUGACUAAUAGUUUUAGGUUGGGGUGACCGCGGAGUAAAAAUUAACCUCCACAUUGAAUUAUAAGCCAAACCUGAGCAAAAAACCACGACUUUAAGCACCAAUAAAUUGACAUCAAUUGACCCAAUAUUUUGAUCAACGAACCAAGUUACCCUAGGGAUAACAGCGCAAUCUACUUCAAGAGCCCAUAUCGACAAGUAGGUUUACGACCUCGAUGUUGGAUCAGGGUAUCCCAGUGGUGCAGCCGCUACUAAAGGUUCGUUUGUUCAACGAUUGAAACCCU
rnacentral:rRNA from 1 species